UCAACGCUGGCGGCGUGCCUAACACAUGCAAGUCGAACGCGAAAGCCCCGCAAGGGGGCAAGUAGAGUGGCAAACGGGUGAGUAACACGUGGGUGACCUGCCUUCGAGCGGGGGAUAACGUCCCGAAAGGGACGCUAAUACCGCAUAACAUCCUGCCUUUGAAGAGGUGGAGAUCAAAGCUGGGGAUCGCAAGACCCGGCACUUGAAGAGGGGCCCGCGCCUGAUGAGCUAGUUGGUGGGGUAACGGCCUACCAAGGCAACGAUCAGUAUCCGGCCUGAGAGGGCGGACGGACACACUGGGACUGAGACACGGCCCAGACUCCUACGGGAGGCAGCAGUGGGGAAUUGUUCGCAAUGGGCGCAAGCCUGACGACGCAACGCCGCGUGGAGGAUGAAGAUUUUCGGAUCGUAAACUCCUGUCGAAUGGGACGAACAGAUUGCGGGUGAACAGCCCGUAGUCCUGACGGUACCGUUAAAGGAAACCCCGGCUAACUCCGUGCCAGCAGCCGCGGUAAUACGGGGGGGGUAAGCGUUGUUCGGAAUUACUGGGCGUAAAGGGCUCGUAGGCGGCCAACUAAGUCAUACGUGAAAUCCCUCAGCUUAACUGGGGAACUGCGUGUGAUACUGGAUGGCUUGGAUUUGGGAGAGGGAUGCGGAAUUCCAGGUGUAGCGGUGAAAUGCGUAGAUAUCUGGAGGAAGCACCGGUGGCGAAGGCGGCAUCCUGGACCAAUAUUGACGCUGAGGAGCGAAAGCUAGGGGAGCAAACGGGAUUAGAUACCCCGGUAGUCCUAGCCCUAAACGAUGAAUGCUUGGUGUAGCGGGUAUGGAUCCCUGCUGUGCCGACGCUAACGCAUAAGCAUCCGC
rnacentral:rRNA from 1 species